UGAGUCAAGACUGAAUGGGAGGGAGAAUAACACCUGAAGGUGGCAGUAAUGCAAUACAACUUCUCAUCCAGGGGUUCAAGGAGCAAUGACUCAGAGAAGAGCAUCUCAGAAUUAUUUAGAGAGGCUGCAAACCGCAUCGAUGGGAUCGCGACGCGGAAGCCACCCCCUACAGCUGCCGAAGUGGGCACCCAAAGCCCAAGAACCCCUGUCCAAGCUGGAGGGGCGAAAAAGAGUUGACAAGAGAGGAAGAAACAGCUGUUUUUGACCUUGCCUUGUCCCGGGACCUGCCUGCUGUUACUCAGACCAACAGGAAGUGGCGACAUAUUAUUCCAUGCUUUUUUGGUGGAUUGUAGGUCAUUUCACAAACAAGCCGGCAGGUGAAGCAGCUAAGAAAAGGCCUUAAGGAGACCCUAGUUUGGCCCCUCCUGAAGGAGAGAGAAGACCUUGUUCCCGGAAUUCAGAGGCAGCGCUCAAUUCCCAUGUAAACAUGACAUCCACACUUGUGACGUCAAAAUUGGAAAACUGGAUCAUCUGUCUAUAUCUCCUCUGUUUUCCGCAGCAGGAGUGUUCUCUUAAACACAUGACCUGUUUUGCAGUCGGUCAUACAAAGGAUCGUGUGGCCAGUCUUGGAGGAAGAGGAUGAGGAGGAUUGUGCCUUGGAGGAUAAAUGUAGAGUGGCAGGAUACCUGCGGCUCUUCAUUGAAAAUGUUAAAGAUAGUUAAGUCUUUUUCUGAAAUAUAAAAUGCAUAGUAUUACUAUUUUGUGGGUCAACUGGGCCAAAAUACUUUACACACAUUUUGUCUAAUAUGUCAAGUUAAGUAUUAAGCAUUUAGUGUAGUUCACAAAAAAAUAGGGAUUGCAUGAUAGGUAUAUAGGUAAUAUGUUCUAACUACAUCCUAGCCUGUGGAUAACAAACCUUUGAAUGCCUGUCAUCCAAACAGUAAAUUUUUUUGUUUUGUUUUUUUAAGCAAACUUCUAAUGCAACAUAGGACCAUGAGUUUAAAACCCUGCCAACAAAUAGGUAAACACUUUUCACUUCUCAUUUCAUAGCAACCAGUCCACAACUUAAUGCACUCCUCCAGUUCUGGGGUCUCAUUUGUAACCGUUGCAUACGCACAAAACGGGGCCUGAAACAUACGUAUGCCACUUCUCACGCAAACGUUGGGAUCUAUAAAAACAAACUUGACGGGAAAAUUUGCGCAUUUCCACGCAAACUCUGACCCAUGCGUACGAACAUUUUGGAGACGAAAGUGGCGAUACAGAUGUGAGGUGGUGAACUGAAGCCAGAUUAUUGAUCCAGUUCAUCAUUAAAACCAACAGCUUUCGUUGUGCUCGCGCGACAUAUCUGUUCUAUACAAACCUUUAAAUUGAUAAAUAUAUAAAACAACUUACAGCAAAUUACGUUCAGAUUCCAUUAAACAGCGGAGUUACAGAGCCGAGUCAUUAACAGUUUUUAAUAAUAUAACGCGACUGUGCCAUCAGGCGCAUAGAG